UCCACCGCGGAGCUGAUGCCACGCCUCCCAUAUAUGCACCGUGGAGCUGAUUUUGUUUGAUUCAAGGAAAGUGGUGUUGAAGCUGUUGUGUGUGUGUGUACACUGAUUUUGAAAAGAGUUGAGGUUUACUUACGGGGGUGUAUUCGAUUGGGAUUUUAAUGCAUUGUUUUUAGUCUAUGAAUUUUAAUGGAUUGUAUGGGAUUUUGAUUUUGUGCGGAUUGUUGAUGAAAUGUCGCAGAGUUGAUAGGAUUUAGGUACAAUGCUUCAAAAUCCCAUUGAAUUUGGUGGGAUUUCAAAAAACUUAAAAUACACUGAAGAAUGCCACAAAAUCCAUCAUUUUAUGAAAUGAAAAAAAAUCCAUCAGCAUUUGAAUACCAUCAGAUUUUAAUGGAUUUUAAACAAUCCCAAUUGAAUACCAUCGGAUUUUAAAGCAUAAUUUAAAAUCCCAAUUGAAUACCACCAGAUUUUGUAGCAUAAUUUAAAAUCCCAAUUGAAUACCUCAAGAUUUUAAUGGAUUUCAAACAAUCCCAAUCGAAUACCCUCGGAUUUCAUAAAUGCAAAAAAAUGCUUUAAAAUCCCAAUCCAAUACACCCCUCUUAAAGAGAUAGAGAUGGAUUCAGCUGCACUUAAGUACGACAAACGCUCAGACUCACUUGCCCAUUGAUGACGCGUCAUUAUACUAACGAAC
rnacentral:lncRNA from 1 species